rnacentral:rRNA from 1 species
AGAGUUUGAUUAUGGCUCAGGAUGAACGCUGGCGGCGUGCCUAAUACAUGCAAGUGAAACGGGUAUCUUCGGAUACCAGUCGCGGACGGGUGAGUAAUACAUAGGCAACCUGCCUUUAUGAGGGGGAUAACCGAGGGAAACUUUGGCUAAUACCGCAUGAAGACUCUAAGGCAUCUUAGAGGGAUAAAAGUUGGGAAACAACGCAUGAAGAUGGGCUUAUGGCGCAUUAGCUAGUUGGUGAGAUAGAAGCCCACCAAGGUAAUGAUGCGUAGCCGACCUGAGAGGGUGAACGGCCACAUUGGGACUGAGACACGGCCCAAACUCCUACGGGAGGCAGCAGUAGGGAAUUUUCGGCAAUGGGGGGAACCCUGACCGAGCAACGCCGCCGUGAAGGAAGAAGGUUUUCGGAUUGUAAACUUCUGUUAUAAGGGAAGAACGGAUUGGAUAGGGAAUGAUCUGAUAGUGACGGUACCUUAUUAGAAAGCCACGGCUAACUACGUGCCAGCCGCUGC